rnacentral:rRNA from 1 species
GAUGAACGCUGGCGGCGUGCCUAAUACAUGCAAGUCGAGCGAAUGGAUUAAGAGCUUGCUCUUAUGAAGUUAGCGGCGGACGGGUGAGUAACACGUGGGUAACCUGCCCGUAAGACUGGGAUAACUCCGGGAAACCGGGGCUAAUACCGGAUAAUAUUUUGAACUGCACGGUUCAAAAUUGAAAGGCGGCUUCGGCUGUCACUUAUGGAUGGACCCGCGUCGCAUUAGCUAGUUGGUGAGGUAACGGCUCACCAAGGCAACGAUGCGUAGCCGACCUGAGAGGGUGAUCGGCCACACUGGGACUGAGACACGGCCCAGACUCCUACGGGAGGCAGCAAUAGGGAAUCUUCCGCAAUGGACGAAAGUCUGACGGAGCAACGCCGCGUGAGUGAUGAAGGCUUUCGGGUCGUAAAACUCUGUUGUUAGGGAAGAACAAGUGCUAGUUGAAUAAGCUGGCACCUUGACGGUACCUAACCAGAAAGCCACGGCUAACUACGUGCCAGCCGCCGCCGUAA